UACGUAGGGGGCUAGCGUUGUCCGGAAUCAUUGGGCGUAAAGCGCGUGUAGGCGGUUCGGUAAGUCCGCUGUGAAAGUCGGGGGCUCAACCCUCGGAUGCCGGUGGAUACUGUCGAGCUCGAGUACGGAAGAGGCGAGUGGAAUUCCUGGUGUAGCGGUGAAAUGCGCAGAUAUCAGGAGGAACACCAAUUGCGAAGGCAGCUCGCUGGGACGUUACUGACGCUGAGACGCGAAAGCGUGGGGAGCAAACAGG
rnacentral:rRNA from 1 species